ensembl:lncRNA
AUAAUCAUUUUCUACCUAUGCCAGAUGUUGCAGACUUUAUUGUAUUUGAGUAGCUACCCAAAAAUCCAGGAGGAGCAAAAGCACAAGGACAAAGUGAGAAACGUGCACAUGACCAAUAGCACCUCAUUAAAUGGUGGCUGUGCUGUGAAUCUCAACUCAAGAAAGGUAUCUCAAGAAUUAUAGUCUGAAGGGACAUUUUUUAAUGGUAGUAAAAGUGCCCCAUCUGAAUUUCCCCAAGCUAUUUGUCUUAAAUCUUUCAUCUCCCAUGCUCAGUGAGAGCAAUUAGACCAUUUUCCAUCUGCUGUCACAUCUUCAAGGAGUAAGUGCCCUGUCCAGUAUGCUAGCUAACAGAGCAUCUAUUAAACAUCUCCUUUGCUUUUGAAAUUUUCCUUAUAAAUGUCCAUUCAUAUUAAUCAUGCAACUUGCCAAGAAUGCCUUUUUCCUGCAUUCUCUGUCCUACACUCACUACUUUUCCCUUUUCUUUUCUCACAGUGACAACAAAGAUUCUCAUUUAGUGUUUGUUUCGCCUGUGAGUAGUAUGAAAGGAAAUAGCAAAGUAGCACCUACAGUAUAGGAUUUAUCUCUGUGAUAUAGGAAAAAAUCUUAAAUUACAAAACACACCCACUAUUGUAUGCUGCUUCAUACGUUGCUUUAAGAACCAAAAUAAUAAUUCCUCAUAUACAUUUUUGUACCUUUUCAUGGAUCCUUAAAAUUCUUGCUGAGGAUUUCAGGAGUAAACCAGGUGCAAAUUUUGUUACUUCUUUGUGUUAUGGUCUGAAGUUUAGCAAUGUUAAUAUGGGAAUGACAGUAUUUACAAAGUAUCAUAAUUGAGAUAUGUAUCUUAAGAUGUGGAAAAGUUUAACUUGUGGAAAUAUAAUUUCAUUUGCCUCUUAUUCUAAGGUCUUGGAAGAAGGCCUAAGAAGUGUGUACUCAAUAUUCUAUAUACUGAGAGAAUAUAAGCAAGUAUGCAAAACUAACUCUCCUUCACGAGAAAUUGAAGAGUGGACCGUGGGUAGUAGGUGAAAUGGGUGAAUAUCAGACAGCUCAUUAUAGAGACAAGAAUGCUGCAUUCCCAAAGUAGGAUGACAGAACAAGUCAUGCUACGUAUUGUAAUUUCAGUGCUACAAUACAUCUCCAAGCUGUCUGAGGAAAGAAGUGGUGAAGGAUGACUUUACUUCAUUUGCUCUCAACUAACUCAUCAUGGUCUACUCAUAUGACUACACGUGAAAGAGAGAGAUGGGGGAGAAAGAGAGAUGGAUUCCUAUGGAGUAAUUCAGAAUAAGAAUCUCAACUGACUUGGCUCUCACCUUGAAGCAUAAUUUGUCAUCAAAGGAUAUUGUGACAGGAGACACUGCAGCUGUUUCAUUAAUAAGAUUUCUUAUGCCAUUCUCUGAUUAUGAAAAGGCUUUUUAUUGUUGAAAUCUUUGAUUUAUCUUUUUUUUUUUUUUUUUUUUUUUUUUAAUGCAUGUAUGAAUCCGGCUUAUACAUCUUGUACAAUACAAAUACGACUUUUGGGAGAUAGCAUUUUCUUUAUUAAUUCAUAGUUUUCUGCUGAUUAUUGAAUUGUGAAGGACAUUAUCUCCUUCCUUAUUUAUCACUGUUUCUCUUCUGGUAAACCAUACUCUAUACAUGUUCGUAUCCUUCAAGUUUAUUGAUGUUUUUCCUGGUUUUCUUGUAUUUGCUUCCUUCUGUUUAAUCUAUUAUACUCAAUUAACAUCAGUUUUCAUUUAGGCUAAUCAUUAUUUGUUCUGUUUUGUUUCGUUUUUAAUAAUAUAUUAUAAUGGUAUUAGUGACAUUACUCUGAAGUCCCUAGUCCUGCAAAGGUUAGGUUGUGUUUUUCAGUUUGCACACUGUCAACAGUCCCACUGGAGUUUAAGAGUUAGACACAUGGACAUAAAGCUUUGUGCACUAACUGCCUUUAGUUGAGCUCAUUUUUGGUACCAGAGAGCCCUAUUUUAAAGACUCCUGUUCAGAUCUGAAAAUGCAUUUGUCAUUGGAAACAGUUUUAAAAAUAUGACCUUAGCUGGGAACUUGGCAAAUAGAAAUUUAAUAUGAAGUAAAUUAAGCAUAUAUAUUUGAGGAUACGUCUUGACCAGCAUUAUUUUAUGACUAUCCAACAGUCUUUUAUACUUCUGAAACAUAGAAAUAGCUUUAUUUUUGUAUUAAUAUUUUUGUAGUCACAGUUCAUAGCACAAAGCAUGAAACAGUAAAAUCAAUGCAUGUGUUGAUUUUCCUCUUCUACUCACAGGAAAGCAGCUAGAGAAACAGGCAGUAAUUAGUUUUUAUCCAAACAGAGUAUGAAAUUUUGGUGUGUAGACUCAUUGUGUCUGUGUCACCCUGAAGAUUAAAGGCUUCUUAACUACAUAGUGACACAACAGACUGAGCAAGCUGUGAAGGAGCUGGUGUGGUUUGUUGUGUAAUCACUGAUCUGUGGAUCACUAGAACAGUCUGGAUUUCUGUGUCCAGUCUUGAUCAAUAGAAGCUAACCUCCUUGUAUCUGUUACAGUGGAUCACCAUAUAUCCUUAAGUUCACAGUGUAGCUGACGCAAUUUCUGUGGUGCUGGAAACGUUCAUUAGACACAUAGAAUACAAUAAAGUUAAUGCUUAAUCUUCUUUGCUUGGGCAACAUGUCACAGCUUAUUAAUUAAUUUGGUUGUUGUUUGUACAUUUUUUUCUACCACUAUGGAUACAAUCAAUGGAUUUCAGGUGUUCUACAGUCAGGAAGAAAGCUGUGCAUAAUGUAGUCUAAAGGUACAAUGGGAUUCUCCUUCCAGUUUUGCUAUUGGCACAAAAAGGAAAAUAUUCUAAUGAGUUUAUAAAUAGAGAGUGUAUGCACAGUGAACUUAUUCUUUUCCACUGGAGGAAUCCUAAACAUAGCCAAGAAAAUGUGAUAUGACCUCAGAUAAUAAUUUCACCUUUUCAGCUUGGGAUAGUUAAAAAUUUCCUCAGCUGCAGCAAACUGACAUCUUGGCUUUCCAUCACCUAGUAUCCAGGAUGACAGUCUUCAAUUACCCUUUAAAUUAUCCAUUCACUGUUACAGUUGCCUUCUGUUACUUUUUCCUUCUGGCAAACCUACAAUUUGCAUCUGAUUUAAAAUUAUUAAUUUUCGUUUCUAACCAAUCUGUGAGUUUCACUAGUUUUUGGGAGAUGAGUGGCUGGAGAGCAGCUCAGCAGAAAGGAACUUGGGGUGCUGAUCGACAAUAGGCUGAAUAUGAGCUAGUACUGCACUGUGGUAUUCCCUAAACACAGCUUAGCCAGUUAGUCAAUAGGUGAUUCUCCCACUAUAUUUAGUGUUGUUGCAGCCUUGCCUUGAAUAUUGUGUGCAUGUCUGGGCUCUGAAAUAUAAGAAGAAUGUUAAGGUCAUUGAAGGCAUCCAGAGGAGGACUGGAAGGCACGUGCUAUGGGAAGAUGCUGAGAGCCUAAUCUAGUCUGGAGAAAAGACUGAGAGGUGAUCUCACUGUUCUCAGCAGCUCUCUCAGAAUGGGUAGCAAAGGAAAAUGCCAGGCUCUGCUACCUAGGAACUGAUGGCAGGAUGCUUAAGAACAGCUGCAGAUCUGAAGCAGAGAAGGAUCAGGCUGGAUAUUAGGAAAAAUUUCUUUACAGUGUGGGUAGUCAAAUUCCAGAACAGGUUUCCCAGCAAGGUGGAUGAUGCCCCAUACCUGCAGAAAUGGGAGGUGUUUGACCAGCACCCUCAUUAACGCAUGCUAACUUUUGGUUAGCCAUGAAGAUGUCAGGCAGCAGGACUGGAUGAUCUUUGUAGGUCUUUUCCAACUCAACUUUUCUAUUCUAUCUAUUAUAUAUAUAUAUAUAUAGAGAGAGAGAGAGAGAGAGAGUAUAUAUAUACAGAGAGAGAGAGAGAGAGAGAGAGUUUGUUUAAAUAAAAUGAAAUCAGUUCAAAUUUAGUUCAGAUGGCAUUUAAAUGAGUUAGAUGGUGCACACAUCACUGAAGUUAUCUAGAUGGUUGGCUAUCUGGAGAUCUCAAAAUUCCUUCAGACUGGACAAAGGAAGUCAGCAUUGCACAAAUACCAUCAAUGCAAGUGUCAGAAAUGGGAGCUCGAUGGUUAAGCAGGCUUUGAAAAUUAUUUUGAGGAGUGAUUUGAGAGUGUUGACGGUUUAUGGGCUGAUCCGGCCCGGUUCUGUGACUAGUUGGAUGGAGGGAUUUUUUUUGCAAAGUCCGUGCCUCUGGAAAAGGGAAACAGGAGACCCCCCCCACAAAAAAAGAAUAAUUUAAAAAUAACGGCAACAAUCUGAGGAGAAACAAACUGAUUUACUAAAUAUAGUAUCGGAAUGCACGAUAACACACUAUAAUAAAAUAUAAUUCAAUAUAAUUGUUAAUAAAAUCAAAUAUAAUCAAGAGAAGGAUUGUCCAAGAGCUAAAGGCCUUACACUAAUACUGAAGCCUUGCAUGCAGUCAGGAGCAGCAGUGAGAUGAUCCGAAGAUGAGCAUGACGAGACAAGAAGAAGAUGAAGAAGCCCCAGGUCAGGUGACCUACAGGCCUUAUAUCUGUUCCCCUGAGCAGGAAUGAUAACAGUACUCGAACAGUCUUCUGGGGAAUGUAGUUCUCUUCCGGACGAGUACCCAGAACUAGAGCAUUUGCUCUUUAACUCCCAGUACACUGCAUGAAGUUAUGAUGUGGAAUACCGAUAACCAAAAAUCAUAAAACCAUGACAGAGAGAUACUCUGAUGGUUGUCGUGAUAGCAGAUCUUUUGUUUAUAUGAGUCUGUAAAUCUAUUUGUUUGUAUCCCUUAAAUCAAAAAGAUAAUAAGACAUACAUUUGGCCUAAAACUUGAACAUAGGGAGUUCCAUGCAAACAUGCAGAAGAACUUCAUUAAGGUAAGGGUGAUGAAGCACUGGAAUGCUUCAGAGAGGUUGUGGAGUCUUCUGUGAAGACGGACAACAGUUGUCUGGAUGCCUACCUGUGCAAUCUAUUGUAGGGCACCUGCUUUAGCAGGGGGAUUGGACUCAAUGAUCUCUUUGAGGUCUCUUCCAAUGCUUGCAAUUCUGUGAUUCUUUGAAAUGAAUGAUAGUAUUUAUGAGUUUUAAUACCAUCUCUGAGAAAUUUUCAGUGUUACAUUGGGUAGUUAAUUUAGCUCCUUGACACUCAUUAUGUCAUUCAUGAAUUAAGGAUGAACCGGAAAUAUUAUUGAAAGCAUUUUUGCACUUUAAAGUUUCUUUAAAUGAAAUCUGAGGUUAUUUCUUCCAAAUAGGUGCUUUACAGACAGAAAUCCAUUAGUCUGACAGUGUUAAUAUUCUCCAAAACGAAACAUUAUUGGACCAGUUUGAUGUCCUAUAAUUGCAUACUGUAUGAUUCUUUGACUCUUAUCUCUCUCUAAGUCUGUGAAUUUGAAACCAUCAGAAAGAUGUCACAUUGGUAUGAGUAUUCUUCAGUGAUAAGAACAGUAAUUGUUGUAGGGAGACUUCUUAAUCUUGGGUCACUUAAAUCCGUUUUAAAGACAGCAGGUGCUCUCCAGAACAAGCAUUAAUAAGAAGAGAUUAUGAGGUAACAUGUUGUUCUUUAUAUCUCAGCAUCUCAUGACAAAGCUUACCAUCAGCCAGUGUGUUCAGAAGCCAGUUAUCACAGGGAAAAAAAAAUCAAAUGUGACUCAGGAAGGAACUUAUAUUUUCAGUACCAAAGAGUGGAUUCAUUUUAAAGGCUGAAUACUGAGAACUGUUACUUAGAAGGUAAUUGUAUGAGUGAAUUAUAAAAAUGAGAAUAAAAAAAUACUAGAGGCUAAAAACACCUGAGCUGCAGAUAUUCAUGAGGUGUGCAAUCAGACAGAAAUUCUCCAUCCUCAGAAAUCAAAAUCCAAAACUACAUUUUGCCAGGUUUGUGACGUGUUGCAACUUUCUUUUUUCCAUUCUAACCCUCAUCUUCUUCCCAACUGUGAUAAAUGCAGUGAAAGUAAAUUAUUCAUUCUAGCACUGGUAACGAUAUGACUUCAUACAGAUGAGCUUGUGCUGUGGGCAGCUUAGCAUUUACAGGAUGAACUUUUGAAGCUGAACAUGCUCAGAGUCUAGAAGAGCUCUCUCAAAUACGAUUAUAGCAAAACAAGGCUGUUAUUUUCAGCUUUUAGUCAUUUAUUAUUGUUUUUGAUUUUUUUUUUCUGAUCCAAAUAUCAAGUAAACUUUGUUAAAGUAAGAAUUUGUUAUCUAAUCCUGUCUGCUUCCAUCAAGAUCAUAAGACAAAAUUAUUUGAGUGAAAUACAUCUAUGGUAGUCUUUGUGAGGUCAAGAAUUAAGAACAAGUAACUGAGAUGGUAAAGCUGCACUUUCCAAAACAAUUCAAGAAAAGAUUUUGAGAAAUAUUUAGAUGCAGAAGUGUAUCUAGCACUUUCUAAGAUAACGCUAAUCUCAAUGAGUGUUACAGACUUAACCUUUCUUCACUCUACUUUGAAAAUAAAUCUCUGUUUCUAUAUUCCUAAAUUCUUUAAAAAAAUUCUGGCCUUUGAUAACCCAAAUCCCCCUGACUUUCAGUAAGGCUUUUCAUCCUAAAUUCUAGAUCCUCAUAGGUGUUUUGGGGUCUAACUCUCUUAAAUUAAAAUGUGAGUUAAAUGCCCAGGUACUUUUGAAAAUCUGAACCUUAGUUCUCAAGUCAAUUCUGAAAAUGUAUUAGACUAUAAUCCCUACAGAUACUUGUGGAAUAUUUUCCCAUCAUUUCUGAGAAGCUUUUCUAGAUACAUUUACUUUGUUAACCACUCACUUUGUCCCAAAGUUUCUACUCCCAUCUUGUGUAAUAUUUAUCAUGGAGAAUAUUUUAUACAUUUUUUUUGACAAAGAGAAUGUCAAAAUGUAACAAGAGUAUAUAUUUAUGCUUUCAGCAGGCAUAAUGGAAUUUAAAUAAAUGGAAUUUUUAUGAUGAAAAAAGCAACAGUAAAAGCAGUGAUUAUAUUUUUCAUAGUUCAUUUACCUCCCUUGCCCUGCAGAUCUUGUACAGAAGGAAAACGAAUUUCUUGAUGAAGCCUACAAUGUCAUCAUCUCUGAAGAGGACUGUCUCUGCAAUUUAUCGGAGGGAGAGGAUGUUCUUUGAUAUAUGUAUACCUGACGUGAGAUUAAGAAACAAUGGUUCAAAUGUUGGUCUGACCAGUUUAUUACAAAUCCUUGUUGUUGAGGGAGAAGGGGAAGGGAAGAAGGGUGAUAGAAAAGAUAGGAAUUAGAAGCAAGGAGUCUUUAUAGGAAGCAAGAGGGAGAUAGUCACCACCAUGGGUCAGACGUGGUUCGUAGUUCAGUCAUUGAUCUUCAGUAGUGGUGGGUCAUCGGGCAUUGUUGUUCCAUUGACAACAGCAACUUUUCAAUGGUAGUAAAAACUUAUAAAUAAGUCUAAAAUGGUUGAGUCAGCUCUCCUUGGAGUGGCAGUUUCUGGUUCUGGGAUCUCAGCAGAAACUCCUUUGUUCCAAUCUUCUGGGUCUUGCCAGCAGAUAAGAGGGAGCAGGGAUGCCCACCUGCAUUCUGUUUUCCACAGACACAAUGGUAUCAUUCUCCAGUUUUCCCAUACUAAGCUGGGGCUACUUAGUCACAGGCCAGGUCUUCCACCACUAAACACUCCUGAGCACUCUCUUCCAAAGGCAAAGAGCUCUGAAGGAAGGUGCUUUCAAAUGUCCACAAAGUGAUGUUGAUCAUCACAUGGUAGCACCCAUCACUUGCCUCCUCAAUAAAUCAGUUAGAGUCUUAUCACAAGAAAGACCUCAGGAAGCAAGUUUUGAGCCAGAAAACAAGGAAGGGUUCUCACAAGGACUCAGAGGCCCAUUGGUGUUUAAUGACCCUUAUUGGCCCACAUAAAAGAAACUGGCAUGAUCUACUCAAAGAAAGAUAUAGUUCUUUAGAAAUAUUAAGAAAUACUAUGAGAGUUGCUCUGAAAGCAAUGACUCCUAUUUUAUGAUCUUAGCUCAUGAUGUCAGAGGUAAAUGUUAGUAGUAUGGCAGCAGAGGAUAAACCUUCCUGCCAGUAUUCCAUUACAUUUUGUUGCUAUGUAGCAGAUGACAGUAGAGGGGCAAUCUGACAAAAUGGCAUCUGACAUGGAGGUGUGUAGGAAGCAAAGGUGUGUCCUUCAAUUCCUCCACGCAGAACAUUGCACCCAUUGGCAUUCAUCUGCACUUGCUGAAAAUGUUUCUGGAGACCAGACUGUGGAUGUGAGCACAGAGAGGUGGUGGUUGGCAUGUUUUAAUAAUAAUGACAGCAUGACAGCAACAGUGGGUCACCUCCACUGGAGCAGGUUUUUACGAGUGCAGCAUGCAGGCUCUUGUCCAUUAUAGGCAAAGAAAAAUGCAUAAUUAAUGAUGGUGACUAUGUUGAAAAAUACUGUUUCGUAGGUGAGAAUUUGGUCUACAAAAUAGUGUUAUUGUGCUUUUUGUAUCUGUUGUAGUUUCCAUGAAAUAAAUAGGAGGCAUUAGUUUCAGAACAAUCUAUGUACAUGCAAAAUGAUUAUAGAUUUCAGAUUGAUCUGUGUAUUUCCUUUUUUGGUGCACAGUGUAAACAUACAUCUCUAACCACGACUUGUUUUUAGAGUACUGCUUUUAAAACAGUAGUCCUAAUUUGGUGGGGAACUGCAUUCACUGUUCAUUAGUACCUGACCAACAGCAAUGGCAUUUUAGCAAUGCCACAAUCAUGAGAUUCUAGUGUUAUACAGAACCAUGAUAUCAAACUAAAUGAAACAGAACAGGUAAGAGAGGUAGACAAUAAAAUGAAGACUAGCAAGGCUGGCUUGCAGAACAUGGGUACAUUAUAUAAUAUAGUUAUGCAGUGAUACCCCAUAGUUAUGGAUAAGUGUUGAAAUAUUAUAAUAUUUCUGUAUUAAUUUCUUCAUUAGAGCAAAAGAUACACUAUGAUAUUUAGUGUACCUGGAGAUGAAAUAGUGGGAAUUCAGUGAGAUUAUCAAAGUGAGAAAGGGAAAGAGAUAAAAGGAAAACAGAAUGAAAUGGCAAAACGAAAAAGAAAAUAAAUCUCUUCACAAUACAGAGUAGUGGAGAUUCUGUUAGGAUAAUUUUUUGUGUGUACUCAGAAAAAAAGCUUCUGUAUAGCACUUCACUGUUGUCUUUCACCUAUUGUAGAGACACUGUUGCUGUUGUAAAAGAGAUGACAAAUUACUUUUCACAAGCCUUUUUGAAAACAAUAUGAUUAUUUCUGCUAGUUUAUAAUUUCUUCCUACUUUAGUUUACUUCCUAAUGUUCCAAUACAAGGGAUGGAAUUGAAUCUGGCCGUUUUUUGAAAAAUUUUAUGAGGAGUUACAAUUCAUGUGAACCAAGACUCCUUUUGAAAAUCAGUUCAUUAGCUUGAACUAGUGUACUUAUCAUAUGCAAAUAUUAAUAUGAAAGAAAAAUGACAUAGAUAUACAAGAAAUUAAACUAGUUGCCUGUGUAGAGAUAUCAAAAAGCAAAGCAAUGAACCUUGGGAGUGUUUGUUGCAAGAUUCUGCCAUUCUACAGUCGUCGGAGAUAGAAAUGUUGAAAAUAUUUUUUUUUCUCAUUACCUAACAAUGAUUUAGAAAGACUGUAAUAUAUGUAAAUUGGAAUCAUCCACAUACCACCAUCUUUACGGGGCUGGUUAGAGUUGUCUAUCAUGAUCUGCCUCUGAUUUUGCAACACCAUAGAGGGAGGAAUGGAAAAGGUGCACCUGCCUCUAUUCACUGUGACUGCAGGAGGUUCAAAACAAACAAACAACAAAGUCUAGCAGGGAAUGUCAGAAAUUUCGACUUCCCUGUGAUGAGACUGAUGGACAGUGCGCUGUAAAGGAGUCAAGUCACUGUCACUUGGAGAAGAACGGAAAAAUUUCUCUUCAGGAAAUCUACCUCUGAUUUAUUUUAUUCUUUCUAUUGCAUUAACAAUGAGGUGACUAAAGAAAUAUGGAAAAAUAAUAUGUAAAACAGAAUCAAGUAAAGGUUAUCCAAAAAUGUAAAUAUACUUAAUACUGCAAUCUCUAGUUCUAAAGUAACUCAAAUUUGAAUUAGGGAUCUAUUUUUCAUUGUGUAUGCCCUGCAGAAACAUACAAAAUGCCAGGAAAAUGGAUGGCAUAAUGAUUUUGGUAGAUUGGUGGACAUGCUCUAUAGGUUCAUUUCUUUCUGUGUUGACUUUGUCCUUUACAUUCCACUGAUGAAUAAAUGUAUUAACAUGUAGUUUACCACACAGGUCAGGGGAUCUUUCUCAUUUGCCCUUGAAAACAAAUGUUCUGUCUGCUCUGCAAGGAUAAUGCAUAAGAUUUAGUGGCUCUUCUCUGUCUAUUUGGCGUUCAGAAAUGUUGCUUCUCCAAAUAUGUCACAAUUUAGGUACUGCACUACUGCUGAAAUCUGGUUUAUGGGGUUAGAUUUUUUUCAUAUGGAGAUUUUUGGUUCUUUGGUACAAAGACACAGUAUGUCCCAAAUUAUGAAAAUCCCCUAGUUUCAUGAGUCAUGCUUCAUGUAUGUUCUUUGGACACAAUCAAAUUGUGCUCAUUGAAGACAGCUAUUUGAUGGAAUUCAGACAAAAAAAAAAAAAAAAAAAAAGAAAAAAAAGCAAUGAACAAGAAAUGAUAAUCCUCAAAGAAUUUUCCAUUAGGCAAUGAAAUAAUAUAUUGUAUGUAUUUGAGUUCAAACAUGUAAAUAAGGAAAGUGACGUUACCCAGGGGUCCGCACUGGGGCCUGGUCUGUCUAAUAUCUUUCUUGAUGAUGUAGACAAGGGGAUUAAGUGCACCCUCAGUAAGUUUACAGAUGACACCAAGUUGGGAAGAAUUGACAAUCUGCCUGGGGGUACGAAGGCCCCAUGGAGAGAUCUGGACAGACUGAAUCUCUGGGCUGAAGCCAGUUGGGUGAAGUUCAACCAGACCAAGUGCCAGGUUCUGCAUUUUGACCACAACCCCAGGCAAUGCUAUAGGCUUGGGGCAGAGUGGCUGAAAGAUUGUGUGGAAAAAAUGGACCUGGGGGUGUUGGUUGAUGCUCGGCUGAACAUGAGCCAGCAGCGUGCCCAGGUGGCCAAGAAGGCCAAAGGCAUCCUGGCUUAUAUCAGAAAUAGUGUUGCCAGCUGGAGCAGGGAAGUUAUCAGCCCUCUGUAGUCAGCUGUGGUAAGGCCACACCUUAAGUACUAUGUUCAGUUUUGGGCGCCUCAACUGCAAGAGGAGGGCCCUGGAGUGUGUUCAGAGUUGGGCUUCAAAGCUGGUGAGGGGUCUGGAGCACAAGUCUUAUGAGGAGUGGCUGAGAGAAUGGAGUCUGUUUAGUCUGGAGAAGAGGAGGCUUAGGGGGAGACCUUGUUGCUCUCUACAACUACCUGAAGGGAGGUUGUGGUGAGGUGGGGGUUGCCCUCUUCUCCCACUUAUCUAUCAAUAGGGAUAGAGGGAAUAGACUAAAGUUGCACUAGGAGAGAUUCAGUUAGGUUGUUAGGAAAAAUUUAUUCUCAAGAAGAGUUGUUAGGCACUGGAAGUGGUUGGGCACUUCCCAAAAAGGUGAUUGAGUCACCGUCUGUGGGGGUGUUCAAGAAACAUUUAGAUGUUGUACUGAGGGACGUGGUUUAGUGGGAAAUAUUGGUGAUAGGUGAAUGGUUGGACUGAACGAUCUUGGAGGACUUUUCCAACUUUGGUGAUUCUAUGGUUCUAUGAAAGAAGCAUAACUGAGAGGAAAUGAAAGGGCAAAGGUAGUAACAGCCUCGAGUGAUUCAUGUUUACAUAGGUUGCUCUGUAAGUAAUGCCUCCUAUUUAUUUCCAUGGAAAUGACAACAGAUACAAAGAACACAAUAACACUGUUUGACAGAGCAAAUUCUCACCUACUAAACAAUAUUUUCCAAUGUAGUUAUCACUAUUAGCCGUG